AAUUGCUGUAACUUUUAGGGGCACGAGUGUGAACAUGAAGGGGUAGGUUCGAAGGGCUUUCAUCGGUUGGCGUCUGUCUGAAAUGGGCCAGAGUCGUUGGUGGGACCCGGCGUAGGUUGGGUCUCUCUGGCGAUGAUGCGCAGCGUAACGCCCCAGGCUGGCAACAGAGCAGGGAAGAGCUGCCGCUCUCGCAACAUGGCAGACCGCAGAUGCCGCCAGUAGGCUCUACCGGGCC
rnacentral:SRP_RNA from 1 species